rnacentral:rRNA from 1 species
GACGAACGCUGGCGGCGUGCUUAACACAUGCAAGUCGAACGGAAAGGCCCUGCUUUUGUGGGGUGCUCGAGUGGCGAACGGGUGAGUAACACGUGAGUAACCUGCCCUUGACUUUGGGAUAACUUCAGGAAACUGGGGCUAAUACCGGAUAGGAGCUCCUGCUGCAUGGUGGGGGUUGGAAAGUUUCGGCCGUUGGGGAUGGUCUCGCGGCUUAUCAGCUGGUUGGUGGGGUAGUGGCUUACCAAGGCUUUGACGGGUAGGCGGCCUGAGCGGGUGACCGGCCACAUUGGGACUAAGAGACGGACCAGACUGCAACGGGCGGCAGCAGUGGGGAGUAUUGCACAAUGGGCGGAAGCCUGAUGCAGAAACGCCGCGUGCGGGAUGACGGCCUUCGGGUUGUAAACCGCUUUCGCCGGUGACGAAGCGUGAGUGACGGUAAUGGGUAAAGAAGCACCGGCUAACUACGUG